rnacentral:lncRNA from 1 species
GUGAAUGUUGAGCAUUUUUAAAAUUUAAUCGUUGGACAUUCGGGUUUCUCUUUUUCUUUUUUGAGAAAGGGCUAUUCAGAUCCUUUCCUCACUUUUUUUGUUGUUAUUGAGUUUAAAGGGUUCUGUAUGUAUUCUGAACACAGGUCUGAAAGCUUUAAUUUCAUUUUCUUGCCUAAUUGCCCUGGCUAGAACCUCCAGUACACUGUUGAAUAGAAGUAGAGAAUGCACAUCCUUGUAUUGGUCUUGAUCUUAGGGGGAAACUUUCAGUCUUUCACCAUUAGGUAUGAUGUUAGCUGUGGAUGUUUUGUAGAUUCCCUUUACCAGGUUGAAGUUCACUUCUCUGUUUACUUAGAGUUUUUAUCAUGAAAGAGUCUUGGAUUUUGUCAUAUUUCCCCCUCAUCUAUUGAAGUGGAAUAAUUGUUAUGUGAUUAAAAGAAAAUCAUCAUACAUACUGAAGUUCUUACCCCAGGAAAUUUCAUCUGGUGGCCUAGCAUUGUGGGACUUUCCCUGAUUGCUUUUGUGAUGAGAGUCCAUAUUUUUAUGGAAUAUAAUCAAAUGAGUUGUAGACUAGAAUAUUAAAAUUUGGGUUCAAGUGUUGACUUGUUGAUUUCCUGGAGACUGUUACAGCAAUUAUUUUACUUAGAACCAUUUUCAUUUCACAUACCAGGAAUCCAACUCAAAUACAUUUUCAUUUCACCAUACAAGGAAUCCAACUCAAAUUCAUAUGAAUUUCAAAGGUAUUUUCAUGCUUUUUAUUCAUCAUUUCUACCUUUCGGAGUUUACCUUAUAUACUUGCAAAAGUGAUCAUGUUAUUUGUAGAAGGUUGUUCACUGCAGCAUUAUUCAUAAUAGCAGGAAAAUGGAAACACACGAUUGAUUAUGUAAACUAGGAUAAAGACAUAAUAUGGAACUCCCUGUCACUAUUCCAAAGGUUUAUGUACACAUAGAAGAUAUCGCUGACAUAGGAAGACUUUUUAAUUUUUACCCCAAAUAAUUUUGAAUUAUAUAUUUUUAUAAUAAACAACAUA